AAGAUUGGUCAUUUCAAAAACUUCCAUUGAGGAAGCACCACAAGGCUUAGAAAAAUUAAACAAUUUGAAAUGGCUUGAUCUAUCCAAAAAUGAAAGAUUGGAUUUGGAAUUAGGGUCUUUCUCAUCCUAUUUGACCAAAUUGCAAUACCUCGAUCUCCGAAACACUCGUGCUGUUAUUAAGGUUGAAGAUGUUCAAAGGAUGAAGAUACUGGAAUGUUUUCGAGGUGCCAUUGACUGCAAUCAAUUCAUGCAAAACAAUCUUGAUAUGAGUUUUGGGCUCAUCAAAACAUAUCAUCUCAUAUUAGGAAAUGUAUGUGGUAAAAGUGAGUGGAAGAGUUGUUCUAAUUUGACUCGUGGUGAUUUUAAAAAUAGGUGUAUAGAAUUCCAAGAUUGUGAUCGUUUCAGCCACAUACUACCUAAAGACCAUACUCUUCUGCUUAUAUACAAGAAUAAUCAUUGGGUUUGGUUAUGUGAUGUUCUUUCAUAUAGCACUUCUUCUUCUGUAAGGACAAUACAAAUUAGUUAUUGUGAUAAACUAGAGAGCUUGUUUUGUUUAUCUGGUUCUUGUUCCUUUUGCACCAAGAUUCACAAGCUGGAAAUUUUGUCUCUUUCACAAUUGAAAAGUUUAACUGUCAUCUGUAAAGACGUUGUUGAUGUUGGACAAUCUUUGUCACCGGUUGGCAUAUUCUCUUGCCUAAAAGAAAUUAACAUUUCUUUUUGCAAUUUGAUAGANNNNNNNNNNNNNNNNNNNNNNNNNNNNNNNNNNNNNNNNNNNNNNNNNNNNNNNNNNNNNNNNNNNNNNNNNNNNNNNNUGAAAGAGAUAUUUGCAGUGAGUAACAAUGAUGACAAUGACAAUUCCAUCAUUACACUUCCCAAGUUGACCAGAUUGGAGUUGAAAGAUUUACCAGAAUUGAAGAUUGUGUGCAAAGGGAUUAUACACUGUGAAUCUUUACCGGAAGUGGACAUCGGUUUCUGCCCAUGGUUAGAUAGGCGCUCAACAAUAGAAAGAUUUAAGAGUCCUUAUUUCUGAUUUAAGAAGUACACUUUUGAUGAAUUUGAAUAGACAAAUAUAUGAAACAAGUAACAUGAAUUAUCAGGUGUGAACGGUAGCGGUCAUAACAGAAGUGUUUGUGAAAGUGAGAUUAAUCAAUUGGUUCGUGAUUUAGAUUUUGAGAAAAAUGAUAUUGCGAAACAACUUCAAUGUUUGGAGUCUCGUAGAAAAAAGCGCAAGUUUGAAGUUGAUUUUUGGUUGGAAGAAUUACAAGAUAUCAAAGAAAGUGUGAGGCAUAUGAAUAACUUAAAUGAUACUCAUCAUGUAAGUGAAUUGAUCCAAAAGAUGAAACGACACAAGGAAGAGAAACCUCUCACUUUGUCAACUGAAUAUGUCGGCUGGAGAUUAGAUGAAAAUAUCAAGAAAGUGUUGAAACUUCUUGAUGAUGACAAAGUCUUUGUCAUUGGGAUAUAUGGAAUGGGAGGAGUAGGAAAAACUUUACUUGCAACUCUCGUGGAAAAUGAAGUCAAAAGGAAAACAACUUUCAAGGAUGUGUUUUGGGUCACUGUUUCUGACAUCACUAACAUCUCAAAAUUGCAAAAUGAUAUUGCAAAAAGAAUAGGUGUAAAGCUUGAUGAAGACGAUGAGAGAAUUAGAGCAUACCAUUUGUCUUCCGCAUUGGAGAAAAAAGAAAAAUCAGUUCUUAUUCUGGAUGAUGUUUGGAGAUACAUUGAUUUAGAAAAGGUGGGAAUUAUUCCAAAAGUGAAUGGCAUUAAAGUGAUUGUGACAUCUCGUUUAGAACAUCUAUGUCACCAGAUGGAUUGUUGGUCAUAUGCUAUAAUACAAAUGUUUCCUUUCAGUUUCCUUCCAGUAUUUCAAGAUGAUGAUGAAGUUGAUCAAGAUCUGGAAUUGUUUAAGCUAAAACUCGGACAUGAUGGAACACCCAAGACACUUCCACAUGAAAUAGAAAAGAUUGCAAGAUGUAUUGUAGAGAGAUUUCAUGGUUUACCUCUUGCAAUUAGUGUGAUGGCUAGAACAAUGAAAGGGAUUGAUGACAUUCAUCAAUGGAAACAUGCAUUGAAUCAACUUAAAAAAUUUGAAAUGGGACCAGAGGUGGAAGAAGAAGUCUUCAAGGUAUUGAAACGAAGCUAUGUUAAUUUGAUGGAUAAGGACUUGCAAAAUUGUUUUUUGUCUUGUGCAUUAUUAUCUAUUGAUCGUUUUGACGAGGAUGGAGGAAUGAUUGACAAACAAGAGUUGAUCAUGAAGCUAGUUGACAAUGGACAAAUAAAUAAGAAUAUUUGUUUGGAAGAAAUAUUUGAUGAAGGGAAUACCAUAUUGAAUAAGCUUGUUUCUCAUUCUUUGAUUCGUUCUGGAUAUUUUUGGGUAUACACACAUCCUUUGGUGAGAAGUAUGGCCUGUUAUACCAUGAAAGAGAGUCAGAGGAAUGUCAUAGUGGAAUUGAAUGAGAAAUUCACCAAAAUACCUCUCUCGUUUGGAUGUGCAACUGAUUUAGAGUUUGUUCAUAUUCGGAAUUGUGUUAUAGAAGAAAUCUCAGAGGAUCUGUCUCCAAAUUGUCGAAAGUUGUCCACCUUAAUUAUAAAUAAAGUUUCCAUUAAUCAUGUUCCAGAGAGUUUUUUCAAAUAUAUGAAUAGUCUAUCAAUAUUGGAUCUAUCCUUUAAUGAAAGUCUAGUAUCUUUGCCAAACUCCAUCACUAAUUUGAGGUCACUUGUUUCUUUAAUAGUAAAAGAAUGUGAUUCAUUGAAACAUGUGCCCCCAUUGGGAGAACUACAAGCAUUGUCAAGAUUGGUCAUUUCAGAAACUUCCAUUGAGGAAGCACCACAAGGCUUAGAAAAAUUAAACAAUUUGAAAUGGCUUGAUCUAUCCAGAAAUGAAAGGUUGGAUUUGGAAUUAGGGUCUUUCUCAUCCUAUUUGACCAAAUUGCAAUACCUCGAUCUCCGAAAAACUCGUGCUGUUAUUAAGGUUGAAGAUGUUCAAAGGAUGAAGAUACUGGAAUGUUUUGGAGGUGCCAUUGACUGCAAUCAAUUCAUGCAAAACAAUCUUGAUAUGAGUUUUG
rnacentral:lncRNA from 1 species